AAGACAUUUCUUAUUUGUCAUCUUAUUUAUUAAAUUGAAGAUAUUAUUCGAUAUAGCAGUGUCUAGUAUUAUUUCUCAAUAAUUUUAGAAUAAUUACUGUUCUAGUACUUCAAACUCACAAAAUAUGUCUGAUUAUUUGCAGUAUAAUACAAAUCGACUAUUGAUGUCAUCGAAGUUGAUGUCUUCAUAUCGAACGUUCUUAUGUCGGCAUUAAAUAAUCUUAUUGCAUCAAUUAUUAUAGACAAUGGCUUUGUGCGUUAUUUAUUAUGCGCAUGCAUAGUGUAUUCUUUUAUUUUUUACUUUUAAAUAGUCAUAGUAAGGCAAUGACUUUUUUGCUACUUCAUCUAGCAAGCAGCAUUUUUAACAGAAUUAUUUAUAUUGUAUGUUUGUUUUUAGAUGAUUUUUGUACCGUAUGUGCAUGCUACAUUAUCCGUACUUAUUUUUUUUAUAGAAUACCGGAUGUUCUCGAGUCGUCAUCUUUACCGGACAUUGUGUGUUCAAGGCUUCAGGCAAGGAAAGGCGAUUCUUUUGUCUUACCGCUCUGGAGAUGCUGGAUGGUCAAACUUUAAAAUACUUCUUGAAAUCGGAUCUAGAUUCACGAGGCGAAUGAAAGACUCGGGAGGACGCAAAAGACAAUAUAUUGGCAGUACAAAAAAUACCGGUGUCAGGAUUAUUACUCCGGGGCAAGUGGCUCGACGUGACAGCUGCGAGCGGCCAAAGGCGAAGUUCGCAGGAUACUCGAGUAUCACCAGCCCGCCGAAAAAUGUCGGAAUAACGACGUUGCCCGCGGACAGAAUAGGAGAAAGCGAAGGAGGAGGAGGAGGAGGUGUAGUAGAGAAGAAGUAUCGAAGAAAAGGAAGGAGGCAAGCUAUUCACCGAGGCAGUUAUCGCGGAUGAGGCAGGCCCAUCGAAAAGCCACGCCCCAGAAGAUGAGAGAGCUACGGCGGCGAGAGAGUGAAAAGCUCUAGAAUACGGGCAAGCGGGAGCG
rnacentral:misc_RNA from 1 species